rnacentral:rRNA from 1 species
GAUGAACGCUGGCGGCGUGCUUAAUACAUGCAAGUCGAGCGAACCGCUUCGGUGGUGAGCGGCGAACGGGUGAGUAACACGUAAGUGAUCUGCCCAUCAGACGGGGACAACGAUUGGAAACGAUCGCUAAUACCGGAUAGGACGAAAGUUUAAAGGUGCUUCUGGCACCGCUGAUGGAUGAGCCUGCGGCGCAUUAGCUAGUUGGUAGGGUAAAGGCCUACCAAGGCGACGAUGCGUAGCCGACCUGAGAGGGUGAACGGCCACACUGGGACUGAGACACGGCCCAGACUCCUACGGGAGGCAGCAGUAGGGAAUCUUCGGCAAUGGGCGAAAGCCUGACCGAGCAACGCCGCGUGAAUGAUGAAGGCCUUCGGGUUGUAAAAUUCUGUUAUAAGGGAAGAACGACUUUAGUAGGAAAUGGCUAGAGUGUGACGGUACCUUAUGAGAAAGCCACGGCUAACUACGUGCCAGCCGCCGCAGUAA